rnacentral:rRNA from 1 species
UACGUAGGGGGCAAGUGUUGUCCGGAUUUAUUGGGCGUAAAGAGCGUGUAGGCGGCCAGACAGGUCCGUUGUGAAAACUCGAGGCUCAACCUCGAGACGCCGAUGGAAACCGUCUGGCUAGAGUCCGGAAGAGGAGAGUGGAAUUCCCGGUGUAGUGGUGGAAUGCGUAGAUAUCUGGAGGAACACCGGUGGCGAAGGCGACAUCCUGGACCGGUAUUGACGCUGAGGCGCGAAAGCCAGGGGAGCAAACGGG